ACACAUCCUCCUUCAUUGCAGAAUCCACAGGCAGAUGGGCAAUCUUGUGCUAUGACGGUUCUCCA
ensembl:ncRNA F35E8.17 ncRNA